CUCAUACCGGUUUGGAACAACUUGAGGAUGGUCUUUGGAGAUUGCAUUAAAGUUGCAUUAAAACCCUGACGUCCUCCUUCAUUGCCAUACAAAGUGGGUUGGAACAAAUUUCAUUCUGUAUUUGGAGGAGGAGG